AAUAAUGUAAAGUACAUUUGCAUUUUGCAACAGAAACAACUUCUUAUGGAGUAUUGUUUUACAGGCUACUGUAACAGCUUUUCAUGUAAUGUAUUCAAUUAUAAUUAGGAUUGGGAUAAUACAAAAAUAUACUUUUUGGUUAGUGAUAUCUAUUACAUUGUGACAUAAUUUGGUUUCUCAAUAAUUCUCAUCGUGAGUGCCAAACUGAUUAAUUGCAUCCUAAAGGAACGUUCAAGAUGUGAUUCAGUAACUCAUACGGUAGUUGCAAUCAUUAGUUUUGACCAACUCAGCUUAUAUUCAUCCUAAAAUGGAAGAUGGAAAGAAUAUGGAAUUCUGUGUGAUUCAUCGUAUAUCGCGUAUUUCCUGGACCAUCUAUUGACAAUCAAACGCAUUAAAUUCAUCUUUGGAACACUGAUUUACCUAUCUAUUUUAUUUAAUCCAACACUUUAAUGAUAGAUAUUUCUACUAAUUGAUUGAGAAGGAAUAUGUUUCCGGAAUAAUAAAUGCCGCAUGACUAAGCACAUAGGAAGUCCGUAUUGAGAUGUAAAUGAAAAUAUUGAUUGUCAGAUAAAUUUAAUGAUUCAAAAAAUAAAGUUAAG